UACAGAGGGGGCGAGCGUUAUUCGGAAUUAUUGGGCGUAAAGGGCGCGUAGGCGGGCCGUCAAGUCGAGGGUGAAAUCCCCCAGCUCAACUGGGGAAGUGCCUCCGAUACUGGCGGCCUCGAGGGGGAUAGGGGCAUGCGGAACUUCCGGUGGAGCGGUGAAAUGCGUAGAUAUCGGAAGGAACACCGGUGGCGAAAGCGGCGUGCUGGAUCCCUUCUGACGCUGAGGCGCGAAAGCCAGGGGAGCGAACGGG
rnacentral:rRNA from 1 species